ACGUGUGCUCCUCCUUUUUCCUACCUGUGCAGAGAUAACUUGAAGGAGGAAGUGAGAGGGAAGGAGAGGGCUUUGACCUUCGUGGAGAGGGCAAGAUAAGUGGACCCUUCUCCAG